GGAAGGACUGUAGCUCAGUGGUAGGGCACCUGCCUUGCAUACAGAAGGUCCCAGGUUCAAUCCCUGGCGUCUCCA